GACGUAGGGCGCGAGCGUUGUCCGGAUUUAUUGGGCGUAAAGAGCUCGUAGGCGGCUUGUCGCGUCGACUGUGAAAACCCACGGCUUAACUGUGGGCUUGCAGUCGAUACGGGCAGGCUAGAGUGCGGUAGGGGAGACUGGAAUUCCUGGUGUAGCGGUGAAAUGCGCAGAUAUCAGGAGGAACACCGGUGGCGAAGGCGGGUCUCUGGGCCGUAACUGACGCUGAGGAGCGAAAGCGUGGGGAGCGAACAGG
rnacentral:rRNA from 1 species